UCUGGUGGCCUUAGCGAGAUGGUCCCACGCCUUCCCAUCCCGAACAGGACCGUGAAACACCUUAGCGCCGAUGAUAGUGUGGCAUUCGCCAUGU
rnacentral:rRNA from 1 species